CCGCCAUUAGCUUAUCAGGAAAGAGCGCCACCCUUUCAAGGUUGUUGUGCGGGGUGCGGGUCCCCGAUGGCGGUCCA
rnacentral:tRNA from 1 species